rnacentral:rRNA from 1 species
CAGCAGCCGCGGUAAUACGAAGGGUGCAAGCGUUACUCGGAAUUACUGGGCGUAAAGCGUGCGUAGGUGGUGGUUUAAGUCCGUUGUGAAAGCCCUGGGCUCAACCUGGGAAUUGCAGUGGAUACUGGGUCACUAGAGUGUGGUAGAGGAUAGUGGAAUUUCCGGUGUAGCAGUGAAAUGCGUAGAGAUCGGAAGGAACAUCUGUGGCGAAGGCGACUAUCUGGGCCAACACUGACACUGAGGCACGAAAGCGUGGGGAGCAAGCAGGAUUAGAUACCCCUGUAGUCCCUGUCUCUUAUAC